UACGUAGGAGGCAAGCGUUAUCCGGAUUUAUUGGGCGUAAAGCGCACGCAGGCGGUCGCGUAAGUCGGACGUGAAAGCUCCCGGCUCAACCGGGAGAGGUCGCUCGAUACUGCGUGACUUGAGGUUGGGAGAGGGGAGUGGAAUUCCCGGUGUAGUGGUGGAAUGCGUAGAUAUCGGGAGGAACACCAGUGGCGAAAGCGACUCCCUGGCCCACACCUGACGCUCAGGUGCGAAAGCGUGGGUAGCGAACGGG
rnacentral:rRNA from 1 species